CGGAUUNUAGGCUGCAACUCGCCUACAUGAAGUCGGAAUUGCUAGUAAUCGCGGAUCAGCAUGCCGCGGUGAAUACGUUCCCGGGCCUUGUACACACCGCCCGUCACACCAUGGGAGUCGGUAACACCCGAAGCCUGUAGUCUAACCGCAAGGGGGACGCAGUCGAAGGUGGGAUUGAUGACUGGGGUGAAGUCGUAACAAGGUACC
rnacentral:rRNA from 1 species